rnacentral:rRNA from 1 species
GAUGAACGCUAGCGGGAGGCUUAAUACAUGCAAGUCGAACGGUAACAUGGGAGCUUGCUCCUGAUGACGAGUGGCGCACGGGUGAGUAACGCGUACACGACCUACCUUGUACUGGGGCACAUACACUGGAAACGGAGUAAAUACCCCAUAGUAUUGUGGAUUUAAUUUGCAAUUAAAGUUACGACGGUACGAGAUGGGUGUGCGUACUAUUAGAUAGUUGGUGAGGUAACGGCUCACCAAGUCGACGAUAGUUAGGGGGCGUGAGAGCGUGGCCCCCCACACGGGUACUGAGACACGGACCCGACUCCUACGGGAGGCAGCAGUAAGGAAUAUUGGACAAUGGGCGGAAGCCUGAUCCAGCUAUCCCGCGUGAAGGAUGACGGCCCUCUGGGUUGUAAACUUCUUUUGAAUAGGACGAAACGCUUUCAUUUAUGAGAGCCUGACGGUACUAUUAGAAUAAGCACCGGCUAACUCCG